UGGUGGGCAAGCAGAGGGAACAGAAGCUAUAAAUGCGAUCAUCAGGGCCAGGAACGUGGAAAGAACUGCAUUUCCCAAAGCACAGCUGGACGCUGGAAGAGAUUGCCUCCAUUCUCAUGGACACAUAAAACAUACAGGGAUGGAAACAGAGAUAACAAUCUUGCCAUCCUGAGAGAAAGGAGACAGACCUGCAUUGAGACUCAGGACACAAAGGAAGAAGAGUUUUACAAAU